GGGGAUAACAUUGCGAAAGCGAUGCUAAUACCGGAUAAUAUCUAAACAAUUUCGAUUUUUUAGAUCAAAGGUGACCUCUACAUGUAAGUUACUGUUUGGAGAUGAGCUCGCGUACCAUUAGCUUGUUGGUAGGGUAAUGGCCUACCAAGGCGACGAUGGUUAGCUGGUCUGAGAGGAUGAUCAGCCACACUGGAACUGACACACGGUCCAGACUCCUACGGGAGGCAGCAGUGAGGAAUUUUGCGCAAUGGGGGAAACCCUGACGCAGCAACGCCGCGUGAGUGAUGAAGGCUUUCGGGUCGUAAAGCUCUGUCAAGUGGGAAGAAACUGCAUGGUGCUAAUAUCAUCGUGCACUGACGGUACCACUGAAGGAAGCACCGGCUAACUCCGUGCCAGCAGCCGCGGUAAUACGGGGGGUGCAAGCGUUAUUCGGAAUUACUGGGCGUAAAGAGCGCGUAGGCGGUCUCUUAAGUCAGAUGUGAAAGCCCGGGGCUCAACCCCGGAAGUGCAUUUGAAACUAAGGGACUUGAGUAUGGGAGAGGGAAGUGGAAUUCCUGGUGUAGCGGUGAAAUGCGUAGAUAUCAGGAGGAACACCGGUGGCGAAGGCGACUUCCUGGACCAAUACUGACGCUGAGGCGCGAAGGCGUGGGGAGCAAACAGGAUUAGAUACCCUGGUAGUCCACGCAGUAAACGUUG
rnacentral:rRNA from 1 species